rnacentral:rRNA from 1 species
GACGAACGCUGGCGGCGUGCCUAAUACAUGCAAGUUGAGCGCUGAAGGUUGGUACUUGUACCAACUGGAUGAGCAGCGAACGGGUGAGUAACGCGUGGGGAAUCUGCCUUUGAGCGGGGGACAACAUUUGGAAACGAAUGCUAAUACCGCAUAAAAACUUUAAACACAAGUUUUAAGUUUGAAAGAUGCAAUUGCAUCACUCAAAGAUGAUCCCGCGUUGUAUUAGCUAGUUGGUGAGGUAAAGGCUCACCAAGGCGAUGAUACAUAGCCGACCUGAGAGGGUGAUCGGCCACAUUGGGAAUGAGACCCGGCCCAAACUCCCACGGGAGGCAGCAGUAGGGAAUCUUCGGCAAUGGACGAAAGUCUGACCGAGCAACGCCGCGUGAGUGAAGAAGGUUUUCGGAUCGUAAAACUCUGUUGGUAGAGAAGAACGUUGGUGAGAGUGGAAAGCUCAUCAAGUGACGGUAACUACACAGAAAGGGACGGCUAACUACGUG